rnacentral:rRNA from 1 species
GAUAUGGCUCAGAUUGAACGCUGGCGGCAUGCUUUACACAUGCAAGUCGGACUGCAGCACAGAGAAGCUUGCUUCUUGGGUGGCGAGUGGCGAACGGGUGAGUAACAUAUCGGAACGUACCGAGUAAGUGGGGAUAACUAAUCGAAAGAUUAGCUAAUACCGCAUAUUCUCUGAGGAGGAAAGCGAGGGGUACCUUCGGGUCCGUUGUCGUUAUUCGAGCGGCCGAUAUCUGUAUUAG